UGAUAUGAUGAUCGCACUGGGCUCUGAGCAGUAUUCAUCAUUUUGGAACUGCUUUUUGAUGCACAACGCAGCCUAGAAAGCUAUAUCUGAUCA